rnacentral:rRNA from 1 species
GACGAACGCUGGCGGCGUGCUUAACACAUGCAAGUCGAACGGAAAGGCCCUGCUUUUGUGGGGUGCUCGAGUGGCGAACGGGUGAGUAACACGUGAGUAACCUGCCCUUGACUUUGGGAUAACUUCAGGAAACUGGGGCUAAUACCGGAUAGGAGCUCCUGCUGCAUGGUGGGGGUUGGAAAGUUUCGGCGGUUGGGGAUGGACUCGCGGCUUAUCAGCUUGUUGGUGGGGUAGUGGCUUACCAAGGCUUUGACGGGUAGCCGGCCUGAGAGGGUGACCGGCCACAUUGGGACUGAGAUACGGCCCAGACUCCUACGGGAGGCAGCAGUGGGGAAUAUUGCACAAUGGGCGGAAGCCUGAUGCAGCAACGCCGCGUGCGGGAUGACGGCCUUCGGGUUGUAAACCGCUUUCGCCUGUGACGAAGCGUGAGUGACGGUAAUGGGUAAAGAAGCACCGGCUAACUACGUGCCAGCAGCCGCGGUGAUACGUAGGGUGCGAGCGUUGUCCGGAUUUAUUGGGCGUAAAGGGCUCGUAGGUGGUUGAUCGCGUCGGAAGUGUAAUCUUGGGGCUUAACCCUGAGCGUGCUUUCGAUACGGGUUGACUUGAGGAAGGUAGGGGAGAAUGGAAUUCCUGGUGGAGCGGUGGAAUGCGCAGAUAUCAGGAGGAACACCAGUGGCGAAGGCGGUUCUCUGGGCCUUUCCUGACGCUGAGGAGCGAAAGCGUGGGGAGCGAACAGGCUUAGAUACCCUGGUAGUCCACGCUGUAAACGGUGGGUACUAGGUGUGGGGUCCAUUCCACGGGUUCCGUGCCGUAGCUAACGCUUUAAGUACCCCGCCUGGGGAGUACGGCCGCAAGGCUAAAACUCAAAGGAAUUGACGGGGCCCCGCACAAGCGGCGGAGCAUGCGGAUUAAUUCGAUGCAACGCGUAGAACCUUACCUGGGUUUGACAUGGAUCGGGAGUGCUCAGAGAUGGGUUUGCCUCUUUUGGGGUCGGUUCACAGGUGGUGCAUGGCUGUCGUCAGCUCGUGUCGUGAGAUGUUGGGUUAAGUCCCGCAACGAGCGCAACCCUUGUUCACUGUUGCCAGCACGUUAUGGUGGGGACUCAGUGGAGACCGCCGGGGUCAACUCGGAGGAAGGUGGGGAUGACGUCAAGUCAUCAUGCCCCUUAUGUCCAGGGCUUCACGCAUGCUACAAUGGCUGGUACAGAGAGUGGCGAGCCUGUGAGGGUGAGCGAAUCUCGGAAAGCCGGUCUCAGUUCGGAUUGGGGUCUGCAACUCGACCUCAUGAAGUCGGAGUCGCUAGUAAUCGCAGAUCAGCAACGCUGCGGUGAAUACGUUCCCGGGGCUUGUACACACCGCCCGUCAAGUCAUGAAAGUUGGUAACACCCGAAGCCGGUGGCCUAACCGUUGUGGGGGAGCCGUCGAAGGUGGGACUGGUGAUUAGGACUAAGUCGUAACAAGGUAGCCGUACCGGAAGG